UGGGGGAUAUUGCACAAUGGGCGAAAGCCUGAUGCAGCGACGCCGCGUGGGGGAUGAAGGCUUUCGGGUUGUAAACCUCUUUCGCUAUCGAACAAGGCCCGCUUAGGGUGGGUUGAGGGUAGGUGGAGAAGAAGCGCCGGCUAACUACGUGCCAGCAGCCGCGGUAAUACGUAGGGCGCGAGCGUUGUCCGGAAUUAUUGGGCGUAAAGGGCUUGUAGGCGGCUUGUUGCGCCUGCUGUGAAAACGAGGGGCUUAACUUCGCGCGUGCAGGGGGUACGGGCAGGGUUGAGUGUGGUAGGGGUGACUGGAAUUCCAGGUGUAGCGGUGGAAUGCGCAGAUAUCUGGAGGAACACCGAUGGCGAAGGCAGGUCACUGGGCCAUUACUGACGCUGAGGAGCGAAAGCAUGGGUAGCGAACAGG
rnacentral:rRNA from 1 species